rnacentral:rRNA from 1 species
AGAGUUUGAUCCUGGCUCAGGACGAACGCUGGCGGCGUGCUUAACACAUGCAAGUCGAACGGAAAGGCCCUGCUUUUGUGGGGUGCUCGAGUGGCGAACGGGUGAGUAACACGUGAGUAACCCGCCCUUGACUUUGGGAUAACUUCAGGAAACUGGGGCUAAUACCGGAUAGGAGCCCCUGCUGCAUGGUGGGGGUUGGAAAGUUUCGGCGGUUGGGGAUGGACUCGCGGCUUAUCAGCUUGUCGGUGGGGUAGUGGCUUACCAAGGCUUUGACGGGUAGCCGGCCUGAGAGGGUGACCGGCCACAUUGGGACUGAGAUACGGCCCAAACUCCCACGGGAGGCAGCAGUGGGGAAUAUUGCACAAUGGGCGGAAGCCUGAUGCAGCAACGCCGCGUGCGGGAUGACGGCCUUCGGGUUGUAAACCGCUUUCGCCUGUGACGAAGCGUGAGUGACGGUAAUGGGUAAAGAAGCACCGGCUAACUACGUGCCAGCAGCCGCGGUGAUACGUAGGGUGCGAGCGUUGUCCGGAUUUAUUGGGCGUAAAGGGCUCGUACGUGGUUGAUCGCGUCGGAAGUGUAAUCUUGGGGCUUAACCCUGAGCGUGCUUUCGAUACGGGUUGACUUGAGGAAGGUAGGGGAGAAUGGAAUUCCUGGUGGAGCGGUGGAAUGCGCAGAUAUCAGGAGGAACACCAGUGGCGAAGGCGGUUCUCUGGGCCUUUCCUGACGCUGAGGAGCGAAAGCGUGGGGAGCGAACAGGCUUAGAUACCCUGGUAGUCCACGCUGUAAACGGUGGGUACUAGGUGUGGGGUCCAUUCCACGGGUUCCGUGCCGUAGCUAACGCUUUAAGUACCCCACCUGGGGAGUACGGCCGCAAGGCUAAAACUCAAAGGAAUUGACGGGGCCCCGCACAAGCGGCGGAGCAUGCGGAUUAAUUCGAUGCAACGCGUAGAACCUUACCUGGGUUUGACAUGGAUCGGGAGUGCUCAGAGAUGGGUGUGCCUCUUUUGGGGUCGGUUCACAGGUGGUGCAUGGCUGUCGUCAGCUCGUGUCGUGAGAUGUUGGGUUAAGUCCCGCAACGAGCGCAACCCUUGUUCACUGUUGCCAGCACGUUAUGGUGGGGACUCAGUGGAGACCGCCGGGGUCAACUCGGAGGAAGGUGGGGAUGACGUCAAGUCAUCAUGCCCCUUAUGUCCAGGGCUUCACGCAUGCUACAAUGGCUGGUACAGAGAGUGGCGAGCCUGUGAGGGUGAGCGAAUCUCGGAAAGCCGGUCUCAGUUCGGAUUGGGGUCUGCAACUCGACCUCAUGAAGUCGGGUCGCUAGUAAUCGCAGAUCAGCAACGCUGCGGUGAAUACGUUCCCGGGGCUUGUACACACCGCCCGUCAAGUCAUGAAAGUUGGUAACACCCGAAGCCGGUGGCCUAACCGUUGUGGGGGAGCCGUCGAAGGUGGGACUGGUGAUUAGGACUAAGUCGUAACAAGGUAGCCGU